CCUACGGGCGGCAGCAGUGGGGAAUAUUGGACAAUGGGGGGAACCCUGAUCCAGCCAUGCCGCGUGUGUGAAGAAGGCCCUCGGGUUGUAAAGCACUUUCAGUGAGGAAGAACGCCUGGUGGUUAAUACCAUCAGGAAAGACAUCACUCACAGAAGAAGCACCGGCUAACUCCGUGCCAGCAGCCGCGGUAAUACGGAGGGUGCGAGCGUUAAUCGGAAUUACUGGGCGUAAAGCGCGCGUAGGUGGCUUGAUAAGCCGGUUGUGAAAGCCCCGGGCUCAACCUGGGAACGGCAUCCGGAACUGUCAAGCUAGAGUGCAGGAGAGGAAGGUAGAAUUCCCGGUGUAGCGGUGAAAUGCGUAGAGAUCGGGAGGAAUACCAGUGGCGAAGGCGGCCUUCUGGACUGACACUGACACUGAGGUGCGAAAGCGUGGGUAGCAAACAGGAUUAGAUACCCUUGUAGUC
rnacentral:rRNA from 1 species